GAUGAACGCUAGCGGCAGGCCUAAUACAUGCGAGUCGGACGGGAUUCAGGAGCUUGCUUCUGAUGAGAGUGGCGCACGGGUGCGUAACACGUAUGUAACCUACCUUUAUCAGGGGGAUAGCCUCUCGAAAGAGAGAUUAAGCCCGCAUAAAAUCACAGCACAGCAUUGUGUAAUGAUCAAAUAUUUAUAGGAUAAAGAUGGGCAUGCGGAACAUUAGCUAGAUGGCGGGGUAACGGCCCACCAUGGCGACGAUGUUUAGGGGAUCUGAGAGGAUGGCCCCCCACACUGGUACUGAGACACGGACCAGACUCCUACGGGAGGCAGCAGUAAGGAAUAUUGGUCAAUGGGCGGAAGCCUGAACCAGCCAUGCCGCGUGCAGGAAGACGGCCCUACGGGUUGUAAACUGCUUUUAUACGGGAAUAAACCCAGAUACGUGUAUCUGGCUGAAUGUACUGUAAGAAUAAGGAUCGGCUAACUCCGUG
rnacentral:rRNA from 1 species